rnacentral:rRNA from 1 species
CAGAUUAUCUUCGUCUCUGGUGUUUCGCUGGCCAUUGGGCUGAAGUCAACCGUACAGUUCUUCACAAAGCCCAAGAAUCGCAAGUGUUCGAUUGCUUUCAGGGUCGUACUUUUCCUUGUCCUUAUUGGCUGGCCUGUCUUCAGUAUGAUGGCAGAGUCGUAUGGCUUUGCCCUGCUAUUCAGUAGGUUCUGGCCUACUGCUGCUGUUUACCUACAAAAAAACUCCACCAUCGGUUGGAUUUUCUGA